UACGAAGGGGGCUAGCGUUGCUCGGAAUCACUGGGCGUAAAGGGUGCGUAGGCGGGUCUUUAAGUCAGGGGUGAAAUCCUGGAGCUCAACUCUGGAACUGCCUUUGAUACUGGGUAUCUCGAGUAUGGAAGAGGUGAGUGGAAUUCCGAGUGUAGAGGUGAAAUUCGUAGAUAUUCGGAGGAACACCAGUGGCGAAGGCGGCUCACUGGUCCAUUACUGACGCUGAGGUGCGAAAGCGUGGGGAGCAAACAGG
rnacentral:rRNA from 1 species